GGUCACAUCAUGUUGAAACAUUGGUUCCCGUACGAUCACCGACGUUAAGCAACGUUGAGCUUGGUCAAUACCUAGAUUGGUAGCCGAUUGCGAAUACCAGGUGCUGUAAG